rnacentral:rRNA from 1 species
GAUGAACGCUGGCGGCGUGCCUAAUACAUGCAAGUCGAGCGAACAGACGAGGAGCUUGCUCCUCUGACGUUAGCGGCGGACGGGUGAGUAACACGUGGAUAACCUACCUAUCAGACUGGGAUAACUUCGGGAAACCGGAGCUAAUACCGGAUAAUAUAUUGAACCGCAUGGUUCAAUAGUGAAAGACGGUUUUGCUGUCACUUAUAGAUGGAUCCGCGCCGCAUUAGCUAGUUGGUAAGGUAACGGCUUACCAAGGCAACGAUGCGUAGCCGACCUGAGAGGGUGAUCGGCCACACUGGAACGUAGACACGGACCAGACUCCUACGGGAGGCAGCAGUAGGGAAUCUUCCGCAAUGGGCGAAAGCCUGACGGAGCAACGCCACGUGAGUGAUGAAGGUCUUCGGAUCGUAAAACUCUGUUAUUAGGGAAGAACAAAUGUGUAAGUAACUAUGCACGUCUUGACGGUACCUAAUCAGAAAGCCACGGCUAACUACGUG